AAUGAACGCUGGCGGCAGGCCUAACACAUGCAAGUCGAACGGAUCCUUCGGGAUUAGUGGCGGACGGGUGAGUAACGCGUGGGAACAUACCCUUUGGUACGGAAUAGCCUCGGGAAACUGGGAGUAAUACCGUAUGUGGUCGAGAGACGAAAGAUUUAUCGCCAAAGGAUUGGCCCGCGUUGGAUUAGGGAGUUGGGGGGGUAAUGGCCUACCAAGCCGACGAUCCAUAGCUGGUUUGAGAGGAUGAUCAGCCACACUGGGGCUGAGACACGGCCCAGACUCCUACGGGAGGCAGCAGUGGGGAAUCUUAGACAAUGGGGGAAACCCUGAUCUAGCCAUGCCGCGUGAUCGAUGAAGGCCUUAGGGUUGUAAAGAUCUUUCAGGUGGGAAGAUAAUGACUGUACCACCAGAAGAAGCCCCGGCUAACUCCGUGCCAGCCGCCGCGGUAA
rnacentral:rRNA from 1 species